CACAGCAACAUUUGUCCUUCCCUUCAAAUCAUCUGUGAGUCCUUCGUCCUCACAAAUAGGGGUCUCUUCAGCCUCUUCUGUUGUUCUUCCUUUCAUCAUUUCAGAGUCUUUUUCUACCACAACCAAAGUAGGUUUUAACACAGCAACAUUUGUCCUUCCCUUCAAAGCAUCUGUGAUUUCUUCGUCCUCACAAAUAGGAGUCUCUUCAGCCUUUUCUGUAGUUCUUUCUUUCAUCAUUUCAGAGUCUUUUUCUACCACAACCCAAGAAGGUUUUAACACAGCAACAUUUGUCCUUCCCUUCAAAGCAUCUGUGAUUCCUUCGUCCUCACAAAUAGGAGUCUCUUCAGCCUCUUCUGUUGUUCUUCCUUUCAUCAUUUCAGAGUCUUUUUCUACCACAACCAAAGUAGGUUUUAACA